rnacentral:rRNA from 2 species
UACAGAGGGUGCGAGCGUUGUCCGGAAUCACUGGGCGUAAAGGGCGCGUAGGCGGCUCGGUAAGCGUGUGGUGAAAGCCCGGGGCUCAACCCCGGGUCGGCCAUGCGAACUGUCGAGCUGGAGCACGGUAGAGGCACAUGGAAUUCCGGGUGUAGCGGUGGAAUGCGUAGAGAUCCGGAAGAACACCGGUGGCGAAGGCGGUGUGCUGGGCCGUAGCUGACGCUGAGGCGCGACAGCGUGGGGAGCAAACAGG